rnacentral:lncRNA from 1 species
UUUUAGAGAAGAAAAAGACUUAAUGUACUCUUCGAAGCUUUUUAAGCCACACAUAAAAGGUAUAUAUUUCCACAGAUUAUUUUCGUUUUAUGGAUCAAAACACGACUUAUAAAAUCUGCUCUCAUACAUUUGGGGUACGUACGAUACAGAUCAUCAGACGUUCAAACUAUUUUAUAUAUUUAUAUAAGAUCAAUAGAUGUCCAUUUCCUAAACAUCCAUUUUUUUCUAUACUUGUUAACCAAGUUUCUAAUGUUUAGGACAUUUGAAAUAAGUCAUGCAAGCCAAAGGACAAGCAAUUUAUCAUUGAACAAUUUAAAACUUUUCAAAUCGAAUGAACCUUUGUCAACGGUCAAGGUCAAAGUAAGUGAAAUUUACCUUCCGAGAUUCUAUAAAGCUCAUUGCGCAUGCAUCUUUUUAAAUUUGAACCACAAAUGUUACGUUGAACAUCGAGGAACAUCGAUAGAAAAUUCGAGAGAGUUAAUGUCUUAUUCACAAGGGAAACAGCAUUUUCGAAUCUGAAACAGACCAAAAACAUUAAACGAAAGGUAAGUAAAAAUGUGUUCAUACAUAUUUUUAAAAUGAACGAAAUACCGACCCUUGUUUCUGUAAAAAAAAAAAGAUUUUUCGUACGAGUGUGGUUAGUAAACCCCACAUUGACAGAAACAAGUGCCUGUGGAACGAAAGUGUCGUCAGUAUACGUCUAAUAGUCUUAUAAUAAGGCAACACAUGGAGAGAUGUAAUCCUCCUACAAAAGUUUAAGGUUCAUCAUAACCUUUUGGCUAAAAUGGCCGUAUUUACACCACAAAUUUUACUCUCAGUACAGACACACCCAUUGGCGGAUCCAGGGGGUCCGGGGUUGGAACCCCCCUUUUUUGGACGAUCAAUGCAUUUGAAUAGGGACAUGUGGUUGUGUUUAUCUUGGGUUAGGAACCCCAAGGCCGUAACUAGGCAUCUUAUUUUAGUGAGGCAAAAUAAUUGAGCCGAGCGAAGCGAGGCGAAAAUUUUUUUUGGAGGGUAUGAAAUGAAUGGUGCAAAAUCCUGCAUUCUAGGCAUUUUAAGAGAGUUCAUAAUGAUUGUGGACACUUUAUAUAAAUUUUUCAUAUUUUAAGACUUUUACUUACACCAAAUUUUUAACAACUUUAUUUAAUUCAGUGUAGAAAUCAUCCAUAUCACUUUUUGAGUCUGCUCAGAACAAGAACAAACAUCGAUUCAGUCAGAGUUUCUAUCGGUUCAGUCAAAUCGUUUCAGAACAUAAUUGGUCUGCUGAUAUCCUUAUCCGAUGAAGGGAGAUGGCAAGACCGCAAUCUCUCGCCACUUAUGCAUGCUCUUUUCCAAGUUUUCAUCAUUCAGGGUAGUCAGUUUUCUAAAGGUAGCACAUUAUCAUCACCAUCAUCAACACAAGAUCAAGUCUUCUUCAAUUUCUUCUCCAUCAACAAUUCGGUAGCAGCAUCGGUAGAACAUUUUGUUUGCAAAAGAAAUAGCUUUCCUGUAACACCACCAACAGUCGCAGUAAACAUAGAAAACUCGCUUUACGUGAAAGAGUAACAAACUAGGAUAAUGAAUAAGAUAUAUGUAUAUGAUUCUAUCUAGAGUAUAUAUAUGGGUACAGGGGAAUUGAAUGGAACGUUUACAUGUAGGUCCGUAAUUUCAAAUUAUUUCUGGAAAUAGUUGGUGUAUUUUAGUUCAGAAUCUAAAAUUUAGGUUGGGGUUGGGUGUUCGAUUCCGAACACCCCAUAUAAGAAACGAAAUUCCGUAGUCCUGAAUAAGUAAGACAAAUCCUGUGUAAAGGUUCUACCAUUCUCAAUACAAUCAAACUGGAAUAUGGGAUAUUCUUUCAAUUUUAAGGUUAAAGAAAUCAUGGAUAAAAACUAAUCCAUGCAUGUUCACAUUAUUUAAUUUUAUUUAUGUAAAGAGAAAGAUUAAAGUUCAUGAAAUGAAUACGCAGACAGGACUGUCCCCUUGCGAUGCCCAGUACUUGAUUUGUCAAAAGUUGGUGAAACGGAGAAAUGAAUACGCAGACAGGACUGCCCCUUUCCGAAGACCAGUACUUGAUUUGUCAGUCUACUUAUCGUUUUUGGAUUGUUCUAAUGAAGUUAUAUGCAAUACUCAGAUUCUGUUCACAAAAAAAACUAGUUUACUAGAAUUAUUCCUUCUUUACCUUCAGUGUCACUUUUCCUUUUUCUGCAAGAGCCUGUUUUUAACUAGAGAUCCAUGAUGAUUAUCGUUACUAGGUUAAUGUAAUCGAGAAACAUCACCCGUUGAGAUGCUGAGUUAUAUCAGGAAGAAUAGUUUAAAAGGAGUGAUGACAAGUAUAGAAAAGGUUGAGACAGAACAAAAACGAUAUUAUAUUUAUAUAUAUGUUUAAAAAAAAAAAUUAGUGUCGAAAUUUUAGUGAGGCAAUUGCCUCACUUGCCUCAAGGGUAGUUACGGCCUUGAACCCCUGUUACCCCCCUUUUAUCCUAGGUUAGGACCCCCCUUUUUCAAAUGGCUGGAUCCGCCACUGACACCUGUGCACAUGCAAAAGUUUUAAGGCAUGACUGGCUGGACUUAGAUAAUUAAUUUUUAAAUGGAUUUUAUGGUUCAGAAAAUUAAAAACUUUUCUGGAUUUUGCUAUUCAUUUUUUUUCAUUCCUGCAGAAGGUGCAAAAAUAAACUAAGUUGGGAAAACGUUUGAGAAGCUCCCCUCAUAUAUUUGAUGUUGUGUGAGUAGUAUUGAUUUAUAUGGACAAUAGACACCUGUAAAAAUAGGUGAUUUAAACUGUAACUGAGUGGACAUUAUCAAAUGAAACUCAUGUGUUUGUUUCUUUUGCUACCUUCUGCAGACUGGAAAAAAAUGCAGUUCAAAAUCCAGGUAAGUAAUUAAUUUUCUGAAACAACUUUUAUGUAAUCUAGGUCCAGUCAUGCCUUAAAACUUUCCCAGAUGCAUCCGUUUGUCGGUACUCACAGUAUAUUUUGGGUGUAAAAACGGCCAUAUUUUUCAAUUCCUUCAGAUAAAGCUAUAAAUGUUAAAACGAAGGGAGGUAUAGAUGCAUUAAGGUUUAUGACCCCUUCUGUAGCCAUGUUAAUCAUGACAUUUUCAAACAGCAAUAGUAACAAAACAGCAAUGAUAAUGAACAAUAGAGAUGGGCCAUUUUGUGCAUGUAGCAAGGGGAAACUUUGUGAAAAGCAUUAUCAUUUUUUUGUUUAAUAGAAAAAGGUAAAAAAGGCAAAGAAAACCCCGAAUUUUGUAUAAAAUUCAGACUUUAAAACAGAUUUUUGUUAUAAAACUUUAAACAGGUUGGAAACAAACCUAACUUCUUAAAAGGUUUAUAUUUUAGAAGGUGUAUAUAGAUGCCUCAUGUUACAAAGUUUCCGUCAGUCACAUGUCCAAUGUCCUUGACCUCAUUUUCAUGGAUCAGUGACAAGGUUAAGUUUUGGUGGUCAAGUCCAUAUCUCAGAUACUAUAAGCAAUAGGGCUAGUAUAUUUGGUGUAUGGAAGGACUGGAAGGUGUACAUGUCCAACUGGCAGGUGUCAUCUGACCUUGACCUCAUUUUCAUGGUUCAGUGGUUAUAGUUAAGUUUUUGUGUUUUGGUCUGUUUUUCUCAUACUUUAUGCAAUAGGUCUACUAUAUUUGUUUUAUGGAAUGAUUGUAAGUGUGCAUGUCUAGCGGCAGAUGUCAUCUGACCUUGACCUCAUUUUCAUGGUUCAGUGGUCAAAGUUAAGUUUUUAAGUUUUGGUCUUUUUAUCUAAUAUUAUAUGCCAAAGGUCAGCUAUAUUUGGUGUAUGGAAAUAUAUUAUGAUCUAUAUGUCAGUUAUUUGACCAUGACCUCAAUUGCACGGUUCAUUGCACAGUGUUAAGUUUUUGUGUUUUGGUCUAUUUUUCUUAAACUAUAAGCAAUAGGUCAACUAUAUUUGUUGUAUGGAAGAAUUGUUAGCUGUACAUGUCUGCCUGGCAUGGUUCAUCUGACCUUGACCUCAUUUUCAUGGUUCAAAGGUCAAUGUUUAGUUUUCUUGGUUUAUGUUAAGUUUAUGUGACAGUUGUAAUAAAGCUUUAUAUUUAGGACUAUCAACAUAAUAUCAAUGAUUAGUAAAGAAGGCGAGACAUUUCAGUGUGUGCACUCUUGUUUAGUUUCUUGGUCAAGUCGAUCUGUUUCUUAAAAACUACAAGCAAUCGGUCAACUAUAUUAAGUGUAUUGAAUGAUUGUAAGGUGUACAAAAUUUCUCGUUUUUACAUAGAUUAGACUUGGUUUUCCCGUUUGAAUGGUUUUACACUAGUAAUUUUUGGAGCCCUUUAUAGGUUGGUGUUUGGUGUGAGCCAAGGCUCCGUGUUGAAGGCUGUAUCUUGACCUAUAAUGGUUUACUUUUAUUGUCUCAUUGGCACUCAUACCAUAUCUUCCUAUAUCUAUAUCUAUGUAUUUCUCGUUUGGUUUAUAUGACCUUGCCCUUAUUUUCUUGGAUCAUGUUAAGUUUAUGUGAUAGUUGUAUUAAAAGCAUUAUAUUAGAACUAUCAAAAUAAUAUCAAUGGUUAGAAAAGAAGGCGAGACACUUCAGCGUGUGCACUCUUGUUUUUUUUUAUAGAUUAGACCUUUUGUUAUCCAUUAAAAUUUAGUGACAAAAACAGUUACACAGAAUUGUUUUUUCCUUCAAAAUAUAUUGUUAACCCCCCAUCCCCCCUCCAAGAUUCCAUCUUGAUUAUAAACAUCCUUGAAUCAAUCAAAUGAUUUCAAGAACCAUCUGAAUACUUAUAAUGGCUUUGUAAAGAGAGUACAUUUGAAUUAGAAAAUUCAUUGAUUGCUUCAUCCUGUUUUGUUAAUAAGGAACUUGCUUAUAAUUACUGUUUUUAGAUGGAAUUUGAAUAAGCAGAAUAACAGAUUGACAAAUGAAGAGACAGAAAGUCUAAAGGAAAGCAAUUUGGUUGAGGAAUGGUAAGUAUAUAUAGUGAUUACAUUUUUAUUAAGCAAGGAAGAAAUAAUUUCAUAAUGAUUGAAAACCUGAGUUAUCUCCCAUAUUUAAAGUUUGUCCAAAUACAUUUUUACUAAAAAUAGGGGAAGUAAGAAAAUAUCGUUUUACAGUAAUAAUAUUCUAUAUAUAAUAGAUAAAAUAGUGUUAUUGUUAAUAUGCUUGUUUCAAAUCAGGAACCUAGGUAUAGUUGUUAUAUUUCAACUAAACUAAUUGUGAUUCCUCUUGUUUCUUAGAAAUUGGUAAGGCCAAAUAAAAAAAGAAGUGUGUUUCAUAUUAUGGUACUCACCCUAUUUUUCAAGCUCGAAAAUAGCCUACCCUGAAGUUUAUUUUGUAAUUUUCUAUGAGCACUGUUAAAAGUCAGAGUGUCCCUCCCAUAACCUCAAUGCAAAAAUAUUAUUAUUUUUGGCCUAGUGGAAGUUCUAAGAUAAUCUCUGGAUUUCUUAACUUGUCUAAUUUACAGCUUGAUAAAAUCUGCAGUUACUAUUAAUGAAUUUUCGGCUCUCCCUUGACACCAUUUGUGAGUAUGGUUAUGAGGAAACAAUGGUAGUCUGUAGGAAGUGGACGAUAAAUGGCUGACCUGUGUUAAUAGGUACCAUAUCUCUUGCACAUAAAAGACACCCUUGUGGAUUUCGAAAAAAAGAGCAGGCUAAUGCCGCUACAAAGCAGCACUCGCACCCACAAAGUGGAUUUAUAUAAAUUGCAAUAACUUGUUUCCCAAUCCACUAUAAAUAAAUAUGUUUGAAUUAAACAUUAAUGAUCCCAGAUAUGUUGACCACCAGAUGUGUUUUAAUUUUAUAAACUAUGUAUUCAUGAAUAAAGCAUGGAUGCCAACCAUUUCCUGCUAAAUCAGCUUUCCCGUAGAUGGAUGCUUCAGGUCUUGUACACCAGAAUGUUAUUAGUAUGACAACAAUCCAAAAUUUAUUUAUCAGUUGUAAAGCUGAUAUUGCUUUAAAUUGUACUCUCAACCUUUAGGUAGGUGCACAAAAUUCAAUCAAAAAAAUAUUAACAGUCAUGACAGUGAUAUGUUUUAAAAGGUUUUGAGAAUUAAUUUUAAGGUUAAAUCUAUGAUUGUAAAGCACAACACCAUAAUGUUAAAAAGUUCAGUGUAGCAUAAUUUUGCUUGACAGUGUUUACAAUCUGUUUCAAAGCAAGAUAGAUUGUAACCUUUGGUUAGCAAAACAUAAGAAAGCAUAAGUAUGGCAUGGAUUAACAUAGCAGCUGCACCAAAAUAACACUACUAAUAGCAUGCAUAAGCAUAAAAACUUCAAUGCUAUGCUGACUUGCUGAUCUUAUGGUUGUUCUUAUUCUCUCAAUUUCUGGUAAAUUUUAUUUUAAUUGACACAAAUUGAUAAAUUGAUUGUUUUCUGAGUGCUUGUUUCCUAACCUGUCCUAUAAGAUUUACAAAAAAAUAUCACAAAAAUUCUGCCCAAUUUUUUUCAUUUUUCACCAGGAUCUUCAACAGUGUGUUUUAUAACUUUAAUUUUACAAAUUUGACUCUGCAAACAUAUGUUAAAAUAAAUUAAUGAUGUUCACAAUGAUGUUACUGAUUUUUUUUACUUUGCAAUAUAAUGACCUAAAGGGGGGGGGGGCUCCAGUCAUGCUUCAAUGAUUCCCUAUAUAAUCAACCAAAUUCCACCCCCCUGGAUCCGCCUAUGGAAAGUGUUCCGAACAGAAUAUAAAGUUGGACUUUGCAUUCAAAUGGAAGAAAAACUUGACUUCAGGAUCACAUGUUUUAAUGCAUCAAUGAUAUAAUUGUUAUUUAUGAUGUUUAUUUGUGUAUAAUCUUUCUUUUUUGCAGUCUGAUUAAAACCAACCCCACCAUCCACUUGCAGUAGGGUCUGGUUUUAAUCAGACUCUCUUUGUAGCAGAUUGUACUUCAAACAACAGAACCAUAAGCUCCAUUGGGGAGUAGCAAGUAUUUUCUCUAAAGGAAUUAAUGAAAGUGUUCAGGAUAAAAUAAAAAAAUAUUUUUAGGUCAAUAUAAUUUAACAAAUUAAAGAAAUUUUUGACUUUGCAAUAUAUAAUUUAACAAAUUUAAGAAAAGUUUGACUUUGCUAUCAAAUUUAAGAAAAAAUUGACUUCACAAUCACAUGUUUUAAUACAUCCAUGAUAUUAAUGUUAUUAUGAUGUUUUUUUGUGUGUAAUCUUUCUUUUUUUGCAGUCUGAUUAAAACCAGCCCCACCAUCAACUUGCAGUAGGGGCUGGUUUUAAUCAGACUCUGUUUGUAGCAGAUUGUUCUUCACACAACUGGACUAAGCUCCAUUUGGGAGUAGCAAGUGUUGGCUAUCAAAUAAUUAAUGAAAGUGUUCAGAAUAAAUUAAAAACAUAUUUUUUAGGUCAAUAUAAUUUAACAAACUAAAGAAAAUUUUGACUUUGCAAUAUAAUUUAACAAAUUUAAGAAAACUUUGACUUUGCUAUCAAAUUUACGAAAAAAUUGACUUGGCAAUCACAUGUUUUAAUAUAUAUAUCCAUGAUAUUAAUGUUAUUUAUGAUGUUUUUUGUGUGUAAUCUUUCUUUUUUGCAGUCUGAUUAAAACCAGCCCCACCAUCAACUUACAGUAGGGGCUGGUUUUAAUCAGACUGUCUUUGUAGCAGAUUGUUCUUCACACAACUGGACUCCAUUUGAGAGUAGCAAGUAUUUUUUUUAAAGGACUUAAUGAAAGUGUUCAGAAGAAUUAAAAAUAUAUUUUUAGGUCAAUAUAAUUUAACAAAUUAAAGAAAUUUUUGACUUUGCAAUAUAUAAUUUAACAAAUUUAAGAAAAGUUUGACUUUGCUAUCAAAUUUAAGAAAAAAUUGACUUCACAAUCACAUGUUUUAAUACAUCCAUGAUAUUAAUGUUAUUUAUGAUGUUUUUUUGUGUGUAAUCUUUCUUUUUUGCAGUCUGAUUAAAACCAGCUCCACCAUCAACGUACAGUAGGGGCUGGUUUUAAUCAAACUCUCUUUGUAGCAGAUUGAUUUCACACAACUGGACUAAGCUCCAUUUGGGAGUAGCAAGUUUUUUUCAAAGAAUUAAUGAAAGUGUUCAGAAUAAAUUAAAAAUAUAUUUUUUAGGUCAAUUUAAUUUAACAAAUUUAGAAAGAUCGACUUUGCAAUCAAAUUUAAGAAAAAAUGACUUUGCAAUCACAUGUUUUAAUACAUCCAUGAUAUUAUUGUUAUUUAUGAUGUUUUUUGUUGGUGUAAUCAUUCUUUUUUGACAGUCUGAUUAAAAUCCAAGCCGACAUCAACUUGCAGUAGGGGCUGGUUUUAAUCAGACUGUCUUUGUAGCAGAUUGGUCUUCACACAACUGUACUAAGCUCAAUUUGAGAGUAGCAAAAGAGGGACGAAAGAUACCAAAGGGACAGUCAAACUCGUAAAUCUAAAACAAACUGACAACGCCAUGGCUAAAAAUGAAAAAGACAAACAGAAAAAACAAUAGUACACAUGACACAACAUAGAAAACUAAAAAAUAAACACGAACCCCACCAAAAACUAGGGGUGAUCUCAAGUGAAUGAAAGUGUUCAGAAUAAAAUAAAAAUAUAUUUUUAGGUCAAAAUAAUUUAACAAAUUAAAGAAAAUUUUGACUUUGUAAUAUAAUUUAACAAAUUUAAGAAAAGUUUGACAAUCACAUGUUUUAAUAUAUCUAUGAUAUUAAUGUUAUUUAUGAUGUUUUUUUGUGUGUAAUCUUUCUUUUUUGCAGUCUGAUUAAAACCAGCCCCACCAUCAACUUGCAGUAGGGGCUGGUUUAAAUCAGACUGUCUUUGUAGCAGAUUGUUCCUUACACAACUUGACUAAGCUCCAUUUUGGAGUAGCAGGUGUUGGCUCUAAAGGAAUUAAUGAAAGUGUUUAGAAUAAAAUAAAAACAUUAUUUUAGGUCAAUAUAAUUUAACAAAUUAAUUAUGACUUUGCAAUAUAAUUUUACAAAUUAAAAAGUGUUGACUUUGCAAUAAUAAUUAACAAAUUUAAGAAAAGAUUGACUUUGCAAUCAUGUUGAAAACUAUUUUGAGGUUCUGCCCUGUAGGUCAUGGUCCAACAAAUUUGAAUUAAUUACCAAUUUUCAUGUUAAAUUUUUUGCUUUAGUUAAUUUGAUAGGAUAUAUAUACUUGUUAUAGAAAAAGUCUACCUCCAAAUUCAACAAAUAUUUUGUUAAUCAGCAUAAUUAUAACUUACGUGUUUGUUCACUAUAAACGGAUUAAUGUCAGCUUAUAGCCUUAAUUAAUGUAUCGGAUGUUUCUUUGCUUGUGUCUGUACAGAAGCACAUAUAUUAAAUUGCUGAUCUAAUAUAUAUUUAAUUGAUUAAUUAAGGACAUCUAAAGUAAAAUGAACAGUUUAGAAAAUAGAUUAUAAAUAGUUGAGAUUAUACUCUUUUAUAUUUGGAAAAUUGCAACUUAGCUUUGAAAAUUGGCAUUAGACAACUUGUUUAGUUGCCAAAAAGGCUUUGUGUGAAUCAAUCCUACAUCUUUUAUCAAUUAGACAGCAACCCAAUUACUAAAAAAAAUAUGGUCUCAAACAAUCGAAAAUUAAGUGUCUUGUAUAAUAUGUCAGCUUGGUUGACCGUUAUGGAAUAUCUGUUUCACAGAUUAUAAAGGAUAUGUUCCUUCUGUGGUAACUACAAUCCCUUUUCUCGAAUGUGAUCUACCCAAUUAGACAAUAGGUUUAAACUAACAUGGGCAACACGACGGGUGCCACAUUUGAAGCAGGAUCUGCUUCCCCUUCUGGAGUACCUUAGAUCACCCUAAUUUUUGGUGGGGAUAAUGUUGCUUAGGUUUUUUUUCUUAGAGCAUGGCAUUGUCAGUUUAUUUUCGAUUUAUGCGUUUGAAUGUCCAUUUGGUAUCUUUCGUCCCUCUUUUAAACACUAAUUUAGAAAAAAAAGUGUAUGAAUCUAGCUGAAACUAUCAAAGAUCUUCAUCAUCAACAAAUUACUUAAUUUAAAAAAAAAAAUGAUUUCAGUUUUCAGAAACAUUUAAUGCCAUAUUUGGAUGUCUGGUUAAUGAUGAAUUAUAAGCAAUUAAAUAAAUUUGAGAUGUUAUCUGGUGUUAAUGGCCAUAAUUAAUUAUCCUAUGUUAAGGGGAAUAUGUGCACUACAUUAUAAAUUGGCAGAAAAAUAUUUGUAUUCAAAAGUAAAAUGUUUUAAUGCAAAUAAAUAUCAAAUUAUAAAUUCAGAAAUACAUCUUACUUUCUAGCCAUUUCUAUACUAAUAUUUAACCUACAAUCUAACAAACCUAACAUUUUUUCUUUAUCAUUGGUCAUUUCUAAGUUGUGAUUUCUUUAUUUCUGACUAUUUUGCUGGUUUGAAUGGUUUCCUUUAUUUGAUAGUCGAAACGUUCUCUUUAGUUUUAUAAGAGUUUCCUAGUUAUGUAUUUCUGAAAUUAUUCAUUGGUAUUUUAAGAACUUUAAAAAAAAUCUAUUUUUGUAUUAUUAAAAUUAAUUAAAUUGUCUCAUUUGAUUCAUUAACAAUUUGAUAUGUUUCGUAAUUAUUUCUUGAUAAUAUUACCAUUGUAGUGCAUAUUAUUCAUCUGCUAAAAUUGUCCAGAUCCUUGUCCAAUUUUCUAUUAUUUGUUCAGUAGAGAAUUUGGUGUUCAUAGCAGCUCUUUUCUGGUUUCUGCUUUAAAUUCUCAAAUUUUAAAUAUCCAAGUCUGAAAUUUAAUACAGAUGAAAAAAAAAAAAAACUUUGUCAGAAUACUAAUAAAGAUAUAUUUGCGCUAUUUCUCCUUCUUUUCAUGAUCAUUAAAAAAUUGCUUGUAGCAGGUAUUUUCACAUAUAAUGAAAUUUAAAAUUAUACUAAAAAAAAUUUUAAAAAAAUGAGUAAGAUCAUAAAAAAUCCUUUUUUUAUGAAAUUGAGCAGACAUAAUAUUUAUUAAAUAGAAAUGCACUUGAAAUUGAACUCCCUUUUGCUUAAGUUUGAUGUUUAAGUUGCAUAUAUGAAAGCAGAAUUAAUUAAAAAUCUAAAUUUAAUAGUUCCUUUUAGCUCACCUGGCCUGAAGGGCCAAGUGAGCUUUUCUCAUCACUUGGCAUCCCUCGUGGUUAACUUUUACAAAAAUCUUCUCUGAAACUACUGGGCCAAAUUAAACCAAACUUGGCCACACUCAUCAUUGGGGUAUCUAGUUUUAAAAAUGGGUUCCGUGACUUGGCCAAUCAAGAUGGCCACCAUGGCUAAAAAUAGAACAUAGGGGUAAAAUGUAGAUUUUGGCUUAUAUCUCUGAAACCAAAGCAUUAAGAGCAAAUCUGACAAGGGGUAAAACUGUUAAUCAGGUCAAGAUCUAUCUGCUGAGUUAUUAUCAGAUGAACCGGGCAACCCGUUGUUAGGUUGCUGCCCCUGAAUUGGUAAUUUUAAGAACAUAUUGUAGUUUUAGGUUAUUUUCUUGAAUUUUAUUAUAGAGAUAAACUAUAAACAGCAAAGUAAGAUCUACAAAUAAGUCACAUGACCAAAAUGGAUAGGUAGCUGCCCCUAAAUUGGUAAUUUUAAGGAAAUUUUGCAGUUUUUGGGUUAUUUUCUUGAAUUUUAUUAUAUAUAGAGAUAAACUGUAAACAGCAAUACUGUUCAGCAAAGUAAGAUAUACAAAUGAGUCAAACAUUACCAAAAUGGUCAGUUGACACCCUAAAGGAGUUAUUGCCCUUUAUAGUUUAUUUAUAAAAAAAUAUUACUAAAAUCAACUACUAUGACAAAUUAACCAAGCUGUCCAUAAUCAUUAUUCGGGUAUGUAGUCAAAAAAUGUGGCCGAUGACACCGCCCGCGAACCAAGAUGGUUGCCCUGGCUAAAAAUAGUACAUAGGGUAAAAUGCAGCUUUUGGCUCAUAUCUCUUAAACCGAAGCAUUUAGAGCAAAUAUGACAGUAUAGAAUGUUUCAUUAGGUGAAGAUCUAUCUGCCCUGAAAUUUUCAGACCAUUCCGGCAUUCCGUUGAUGGGUUGCUGCCCCUGAAUUGGUAAUUUUAAGAAAAUUUUGCAGUUUUUGGUUAUUUUCUUGAAUUUUAUUAUAGAUAGAGAUAAGCUGUAAAGAGCAAUAAUGUUCAGCAAAGUAAGAUAUACAAAUAAGUCAACAUUACCAAUAUGGUCAGUUGACCCCUUAAGGAGUUAUUGACCUCUAUAGUCAAUUUAUAACAAUUUUUCGUAAAUUUUUGUAAGUCUUACUAAAAUCCUCUCCUCACUACAAUGUAGCUGUUAACCAACAUCUUUUGGGUAUUAGUUUAAGGAAUGUGUCCGAUGACCCCGCCCGCGAAGGCCUUUGGACUAAAAAUAGUACAUAAAGUGUUCAGAUUAAAUUGGAAUAUUUGAGAAAAAUUUGAGCAAUAUAAUUCAAUUAGAAAUUAUUGCAUUCCUGUUUAAUGAUCCAUGAUCUAACGUAUUUAGUGUUUUGUCUGGUAAUCUUUUUGAAGUUGAUUCACCAUGAAUUUGCAGUAGGAGUUUUUAAUUGGAAAUUUUAGCAGAUUGAUCUUAAACAUUGACUAAUAGAUUAGAUAGCAAGAUGCCUAAAUAAUUAAUAAAAGUGUCAAAAUAAUUAGAACAUAUUGUUAGUGCAAAAAUUUAACAAUUUGAGAAAUUGCCAACUUACAAAUAAGAAAAAUUGACUUGCAAUACAAAUGUUAUAAUUAUCCAAGAAAUUUAUUUUAUGAUGUUUUUAGGUAAGUAAGUUGCAGUUAAUUAAAAACACUACACAACAAUUGCAGAGAGAUAUCCUUGUAACAAUUUUCUUUGUAGAAUUCAGAUGACAGUUAUUUCCCUUAUUUCUAGCAGUGUUUAAGUAUUUUAUAGUGACCCGUAACAAGUCGUUGCUCAGACAUUUGAUUUCAUUAAUAACUCAUCAAUUGAAGACAUACUAAUUAUAUACAAAUGCGUGCAUCACACAAUCAUACUGAUAAAAAUGGGGGAAAUGCAUUGCUGAAAAUAUUUAUUUCGAGAUAUUAUUCAUUUAUGAUUUUUUCAGGAUUAAUUUUUUCCAUCUAUCAAACCAGUCAAUCCUUGCUAAUAGGGCUGACAUUAAUUGACUCUUUGCUCAUUUUUCUUCCAAGGACCAGCUAAUUUGGCAAGACCCAGUAUUGGUUAAAUAUUAAAAAUUUUAUUCUUAACAAUUAAUAUUGCCACAUGCCUUGCAUUGUAAUUGUUCAAUGUUGGACACCAAAUAGUAUAAAAAUCAAGAACAUUUCUGCAAUAAGCAGCAAGACAUACUUAAAACUGUCAAUAAUAAACCUGAUUAUGAAUAUUGUGAAAAAGAAAAACUUUCUCCUUUCUAUAUUUAAGAACCUUGUGAUAGAAUUUAUCAGUCCAUUUGUAGGUAUUGUUUGAUGCUUCCAAUUCAGGAUUUUUUUGGGGGAAAGGUGAAAAUGAAGGAUGGACAUCAUCACACAGAACAACAUUUUUAAAAGAAAGAGACUCCGUCAUAAAAUACAACUCUGGAAUUUAAUUUGCUGUGAUAGAAUAUAGACUACAAACACUAAUGGACUCGGGAACAAGCUGUGCAAGGGAAGAGACGUAUAUAAAGAUCCAAAAGAAAGACUCAGGAAUAUGUUGUGCAAAACAAAACAAAAACAGACUCAAGAAUAUGGUUUGCUCAACAAACUUUAAUUGAAC